rnacentral:rRNA from 1 species
AUAAAAAACCAAUGCCCUUUUGGGCUCCUUGGUGAUUCAUAAUAACUUAACGAAUCGCAUGGCCUUGCGCCGGCGAUGGUUCAUUCAAAUUUCCGCCCUAUCAACUUUCGAUUGUAAGAUAGAGGCUUACAAUGGUCUUAACGGGUAACGGGGAAUUAGGGUUCUAUUCCGGAGAGGGAGCCUGAGAAACGGCUACCACAUCCAAGGAAGGCAGCAGGCGCGCAAAUUACCCAAUCCCGAUACGGGGAGGUAGUGACAAUAAAUACUGAUACGGGGCUCUUUCGGGUCUCGUAAUUGGUAUGAGUACAAUCUAAAUCCCUUAACGAGGAACAAUUGGAGGGCAAGUCUGGUGCCAGCAGCCGCGGUAAUUCCAGCUCCAAUAGCGUAUAUUAAAGUUGUUGCCGUUAAAAAGCUCGUAGUUGAACCUUGGACCUGGCUGAUCUGUCCUCCUAAUCGAGCGCACGGAUUCGGUCGGGUCUUUCCUUCUGGGGAGCCCCAUGCCCUUCACUGGGUGUGGC